rnacentral:lncRNA from 1 species
AUGGGUACCCGCAUGGCCCCACAAUAUGCCAACAUUUUUAUGGCUGACUUAGAACAAUGCUUCCUUAGCUCGCGUCCCCUAACGCCCUUACUCUACUUGCGCUACAUUGAUGACAUCUUCAUCUUCUGGACCCAUGGAAAAGAAGCCCUUGAGGAAUUCCACCAUGAUUUCAAUAAUUGCCAUCCCACCAUCAACCUCAGCCUAGAUCAAUCCACACAAGCGGUCCAUUUCCUGGACACUACUGUGCUAAUAAGCGAUGGUCACAUAAAUACCACCCUAUACCAGAAACCUACUGACCGUUACACUUACCUACAUGCCUCCAGCUUCCAUCCAGGACACACCACACGUUCCAUUGUCUACAGCCAAGCUCUAAGAUAUAACCGCAUUUGCUCCAAUCCCUCAGACAGAGACAAGCACCUACAAGAUCUCUAUCAAGCAUUCUUAAAACUACAAUACCCACCUGCUGAAGUGAAAAAACAGAUUGACAGAGCCAGACGAGUACCCAGAAGUCACCUCCUACAAGACAGGCCCAACAAAGAAAAUAACAGAACACCACUAGCUGUCAACUUCAGCCCCCAACUAAAACCUCUCCAGCACAUCAUCAAAGAUCUACAACCUAUCCUGAAAGAUGAUCCCUCACUCUCACAGAUCUUGGGAGACAGACCUGUCCUCACUUACAGACAACCCCCCAACCUAAAGCAAAUACUCACCAGCAACCACACAUCACUGAACAAAAACACUGACCCAGGAACCUAUCUUUGUAACAAAGCCCGAUGCCAACUCUGUCCACAUAUCUAUUCAAGUGACAUCAUCAUAGGACCUAAUCACAUCAGCCAUACCAUCAGGGGCUCGUUCACCUGCGCAUCUACCAAUGUGAUAUAUGCCAUUAUGUGCCAGCAAUGCCCCUCUGCCAUGUACAUUGGCCAAACCAGACAGUCUCUAUGCAAAAGAAUUAAUGGACACAAAUCUGACAUAAUACUCAAAAACCAGUGGGAGAACACUUUAACCUGUCUGGUCAUUCAAUGUCAGACCUGCGGGUGGCUAUUUUACAACAGAAAAACUUCAAAAACAGACUCCAACGAGAGACUGCUGAGCUGGAAUUGA